CGUAAUAUAAUAAAUGUGCUCAGACUGCAGAGCUAAGAUCAAGGCUCUUAGGUGACUUUGGCUGCCUGCACAAUGGACGGAUCAAUAGUGUACUUUCGG